rnacentral:snRNA from 1 species
GUGCUUGCUUCAGCAGCAUAUGUACUAACCUGGGAAUGAUAGAGAACGGCCCCUCCGCAAGGAUGACAUGCAAAUUCAUGAAGUAUUCCACAUUUUU